GACGAACGCUGGCGGCGUGCUUAACACAUGCAAGUCGAACGGAAAGGCCCUGCUUUUGUGGGGUGCUCGAGUGGCGAACGGGUGAGUAACACGUGAGUAACCUGCCCUUGACUUUGGGAUAACUUCAGUAAACUGGGGCUAAUACCGGAUAGGAGCUCCUGCUGCAUGGUGGGGGUUGGAAAGUUUCGGCGGUUGGGGAUGGACUCGCGUCUUAUCAUCUUGUUGGUGGGGUAGUGGCUUACCAAGGCUUUGACGGGUAGCCGGCCUGAGAGGGUGACCGGCCACAUUGGGACUGAGAUACGGCCCAGACUCCUACGGGAGGCAGCAGUGGGGAAUAUUGCACAAUGGGCGGAAGCCUGAUGCAGCAACGCCGCGUGAGGGAUGACGGCCUUCGGGUUGUAAACCGCUUUCGCCUGUGACGAAGCGUGAGUGACGGUAAUGGGUAAAGAAGCACCGGCUAACUACGUG
rnacentral:rRNA from 1 species